GAUGAACGCUAGCGGCAGGCCUAACACAUGCAAGUCGAGGGGCAGCACAGAAACAGCAAUGUUUUGGUGGCGACCGGCGGACGGGUGCGUAACGCGUAUGCAACCUACCUUUAACAGGGGGAUAACGGAGAGAAAUUUCCACUAAUACCCCAUAACAUCGAUCAAGGCAUCUUGAUUGGUUGAAAACUCCGGAGGUUAAAGAUGGGCAUGCGUCGUAUUAGGUAGUUGGUGAGGUAAUGGCUCACCAAGCCUACGAUACAUAGCGGGACUGAGAGCGUAGCACCCCACACUGGUACUGAGACACGGACCAGACUCCUACGGGAGGCAGCAGUGAGGAAGAUUGGUCAAUGGGGGCAACCCUGAACCAGCCAUGCCGCGUGCAGGAAGACAGCUGUAUGAGUUGUAAACUGCUUUUAAACAGGGAUAAAGCACAGUAUGUAUACUGUGUUGAAGGUACUGUAAGAAUAAGGAUCGGUUAACUCCGUGCCAGCAGCCACCGCGG
rnacentral:rRNA from 1 species